rnacentral:rRNA from 1 species
GACAGAGGGUGCAAACGUUGUUCGGAAUUACUGGGCGUAAAGCGCGUGUAGGCUGCUUCGCAAGUCGGAUGUGAAAGCCCUGGGCUCAACCUAGGAAGUGCACUCGAAACUUCGAAGCUGGAGUCCUGGAGAGGAAGGCGGAAUUCUCGGUGUAGAGGUGAAAUUCGUAGAUAUCGAGAGGAACACCGGUGGCGAAGGCGGCCUUCUGGACAGUGACUGACGCUGAGACGCGAAAGCGUGGGGAGCAAACAGG